UACGUAGGGGGCAAGCGUUGUCCGGAUUUAUUGGGCGUAAAGAGCGUGUAGGCGGUCAGGUAGGUCCGUUGUGAAAACUCGAGGCUCAACCUCGAGACGCCGAUGGAAACCAUCUGACUAGAGUCCGGAAGAGGAGAGUGGAAUUCCUGGUGUAGCGGUGGAAUGCGCAGAUAUCAGGAGGAACACCGGUGGCGAAGGCGGGUCUCUGGGCAGUAACUGACGCUGAGGAGCGAAAGCGUGGGGAGCGAACAGG
rnacentral:rRNA from 1 species